rnacentral:tRNA from 1 species
GCCGGAGUGGUGGAAUUGGUAGACACAAGGGACUUAAAAUCCCUCGGGCUUUUUGCCCGUGCCGGUUCAAGUCCGGCCUCUGGUACCA